CGUAGGGUGCGAGCGUUAAUCGGAAUUACGUGGGCGUAAAGCGUGCGCAGGCGGUUUUGUAAGACAGAUGUGAAAUCCCCGGGCUCAACCUGGGACCUGCAUUUGUGACUGCAAGGCUAGAGUACGGUAGAGGGGGAUGGAAUUCCGCGUGUAGCAGUGAAAUGCGUAGAUAUGCGGAGGAACACCGAUGGCGAAGGCAAUCCCCUGGACCUGUACUGACGCUCAUGCACGAAAGCGUGGGGAGCAAACAGGAUUAGAUACCCUGGUAAUCCACGCCCUAAACGAUGUCAACUGGUUGUUGGGUCUUUACUGACUCAGUAACGAAGCUAACGCGUGAAGUUGACCGCCUGGGGAGUACGGCCGCAAGGUUG
rnacentral:rRNA from 1 species